rnacentral:RNase_MRP_RNA from 1 species
GGCAGCAUCGUUGCAGAUGUCAAAGCCAAAAUCUUGCAGCCUCCUGCUGGCACUCUCUGCCCAUUGGCACGGGGACUUUCCCCGCAGCAUUGCCAGGAGCAAGCUCCUCGUCUGUGCGCUGCGAAGUCGUGCUUCCCCUGCCUUCUCAAGCACAUGCAGAUGCCCACGCUCAUUCGCAACAAAGACUCCCUCAUACAGAAGAACUCCAAAUGAAACACU